rnacentral:rRNA from 1 species
UACGAAGGGGGCUAGCGUUGCUCGGAAUCACUGGGCGUAAAGCGCACGUAGGCGGAUUGCUAAGUCAGGGGUGAAAUCCUGGAGCUCAACUCCAGAACUGCCUUUGAUACUGGCAACCUUGAGUCCGGGAGAGGUGAGUGGAACUGCGAGUGUAGAGGUGAAAUUCGUAGAUAUUCGCAAGAACACCGGUGGCGAAGGCGGCCAACUGGUCCGGAUCUGACGCUGAGGCGCGAAAGCGUGGGGAGCAAACAGG